GUGGGGAAUUUUGGACAAUGGGCGCAAGCCUGAUCCAGCAAUGCCGCGUGUGUGAAGAAGGCCUUCGGGUUGUAAAGCACUUUUGGCAGGAAAGAAAUAGUGCGUGCUAAUACCAUGCGCGAAUGACGGUACCUGCAGAAUAAGCACCGGCUAACUACGUGCCAGCAGCCGCGGUAAGACGUAGGGUGCAAGCGUUAAUCGGAAUUACUGGGCGUAAAGCGUGCGCAGGCGGUUUUGUAAGACAGGUGUGAAAUCCCCGGGCUCAACCUGGGAACUGCACUUGUGACUGCAAGGCUAGAGUGUGUCAGAGGGAGGUGGAAUUCCGCGUGUAGCAGUGAAAUGCGUAGAGAUGCGGAGGAACACCGAUGGCGAAGGCAGCCUCCUGGGAUAACACUGACGCUCAGGCACGAAAGCGUGGGGAGCAAACAGGAUUAGAAACCCUAGUAGUCC
rnacentral:rRNA from 1 species